rnacentral:rRNA from 1 species
GCGAUCCGCUGUUCGCCUAGCGAUGGUUGGUGGCGAAGUGAAGAGAGGGUCUCUUUUUUUUGGCAGAAUAGAGCUAGGGAAAGAAGGAGCUGUCACCACAUCUUCCUCUCCUCGUGGCCGCAGGUGUGGCCCCUCCAGCUUCCCCUCCGCCAUCUAACCUCCUCGGGUCGCUCGGCCAGCCGGCCGCGGUAUGUCUUCGUCGCGACGGCAGAGGAAAGGGGGUGAAAAAUCCUCGACCUAGACUCCACCGGUUGGCGGCGACAGCGGCGGCGGGGCAGCCCUUUUCCGGUGGUACAUCUAGUGCGUCGUCCGGCCAGGUGGGCGAUUUUAGACAACUAAAACGGGAAGCAACAUAGAAGACGUUGUAGACGAAGAGAUAAGUGGGCGGUUUGUUUACUCAUACACGGUACGAAACGUCCUUUAAGUAACUUGUCUACAUGGAGAAGAGGACUUCGGCUACGACGGUACGGAUACUUAGCCUAUACUGGCUACGAAACAGUUCCCGAGUAUACUCUCUUCUUUUCCUCCGACCUCUACGUCUCUUUCUUCGAGAUUCGAGUUGUUUCCGUAGUCCUACUUUUGCAGCCGUAAUCUCAGCACCGGCACCGUCCCUUCCGCUUGGGUCGCGUCGAGACGGUCACCGAGUUCUCCUUCUAUUCGUUCCUACAGUUUUAAAAGGCGGCAACAGGUGUGCCCGACUCUUAACAUUAUUCGUCCCGAUCGGCACACCCCAAUUCCACGAACGGCCGCCGGUGGACGCACCGAGAGCCGGACGUAGGAGCGACUUGAGUUGUGGUUGAUAGCGCGCGGGCGCUACACUGACGACAACGUUGUUGCUGCCGGUUGCUGAUAACUUGCUGCUCCUACGGGAAGCCCCAAUAUCGUACGUUUCGUUUCAUCAACGAGCUAGGAGUGUCGGUUAUAUAGAGGCACAUCUUCGUCUUCUUCGUCGUUAACUAAGUCCCUUUCCUGUUCCCCCUAUCAGUUGUUCCAAACCUGUACCCUCUCCUCUUCCUAAAGAAUGGAACCGCAACGAACCAUUCGAAGAGAAGAGAAGAAGGACAAAAAGACUGGUUCUAGAGGAGUGGAACCGACGAAACGGUACCGUCGAGAUGUCC